AGCGAACGCUGGCGGCAGGCCUAACACAUGCAAGUCGAACGAACCUUUCGGGGGAGCGGCGGACGGGUGAGUAACGCGUGGGAAUAUGCCCUUCUCUACGGAAUAGCCUCGGGAAACUGAGAGUAAUACCGUAUACGCCCUGUGGGGGAAAGAUUUAUCGGGGAAGGAUUAGCCCGCGUUGGAUUAGGUAGUUGGUGGGGUAAUGGCCUACCAAGCCGACGAUCCAUAGCUGGUUUGAGAGGAUGAUCAGCCACACUGGGACUGAGACACGGCCCAGACUCCUACGGGAGGCAGCAGUGGGGAAUCUUAGACAAUGGGGGCAACCCUGAUCUAGCCAUGCCGCGUGAGUGAUGAAGGCCUUAGGGUUGUAAAGCUCUUUCAGCUGGGAAGAUAAUGACGGUACCAGCAGAAGAAGCCCCGGCUAACUCCGUG
rnacentral:rRNA from 1 species